rnacentral:rRNA from 1 species
AGGAUUAACGCUGGCGGCGUGCCUAACACAUGCAAGUCGAACGAGGUAGCAAUACCUAGUGGCAGACGGGUGAGUAACGCGUGGUCAACCUACCGUUGAGUGGGGGAUAACUAGCCGAAAGGUUAGCUAAUACCGCAUACGAGUCUCGGGGGCAUCCCUGGGCCUUAAAAGGAGCAAUCCGCUCGAUGACGGGACCGCGUCCCAUUAGCUAGAUGGUGGGGUAAUGGCCUACCAUGGCUCCGAUGGGUAGCUGGUUUGAGAGAGCGACCAGCCACACUGGGACUGAGAAACGGCCCAGACUCCUACGGGAGGCAGCAGUGAGGAAUUUUCCGCAAUGGGCGAAAGCCUGACGGAGCGACGCCGCGUGUGGGAAGAAGGCCUUCGGGUCGUAAACCACUGUCGAAGGGGACGAUAAUGACGGUACCUUGGAGGAAGCCCCGGCUAACUACGUGCCAGCAGCCGC